rnacentral:lncRNA from 1 species
UAUGUUACAGUAACAUCACACAUACCAAUACAAAAUGAGUCUAUAUCCUAAUUAAUAUGACAUCCCACAAAUGUUACUACCCACUAUGGAGGUAGUAACAUAGACCAGUAACAUGUGCAUGUUACUUGGCUAAGUUACUCCCCACUAUGAGCAGCCUUAUACCAAGAUGCCGCCGUCCAAUUAGAUAGUAUCAAGCUUGAUAAUUAUUAAUCCUCCACCACUACCGUUAUCCUCAACUAGUCCACCGCUGCUCACCCACGAUAUUAACAAGACCUCCACCUCCCAUGUCGAGAUAGUCAAGUGCACCGCC